AUUGAACGCUGGCGGCAGGCCUAACACAUGCAAGUCGAGCGGGGUUUUCGGACCUAGCGGCGGACGGGUGAGUAAUGUGUAGGAAGCUGCCCGAUAGAGGGGGAUACCAGUUGGAAACGACUGUUAAUACCGCAUAAUGUCUACGGACCAAAGUGUGGGACCUUCGGGCCACAUGCUAUCGGAUGCGCCUACGUGGGAUUAGCUAGUUGGUGCGGUAAUGGCUCACCAAGGCGACGAUAUCUAGCUGGUUUGAGAGGAUGAUCAGCCAAACUGGAACUGAGAAACGGUCCAGACUCCUACGGGAGGCAGCAGUGGGGAAUAUUGGACAAUAGGCGCAAGCCUGAUCCAGCCAUGCCGCGUGUGUGAAGAAGGCCUUCGGGUUGUAAAGCACUUUCAGCGAGGAGGAAGGGGUGUGUGUUAAUAGUACACACCUUUGACGUUACUCGCAGAAGAAGCACCGGCUAACUCUGUGCCAGCCGCCGCAGUAAAAC
rnacentral:rRNA from 1 species